UAAAAGAUCUUAACCUCAGAAGUUGUUGGACUGAGUUUAGCAGCAUUGAAUCCGACAAACUAGAGAAUUUGGUUGUUUGCAAUUGUAUAAAGCAACCUGUAGAUGUGUUUGCUAUCAGAGCUCGUCGUCUUGCAUCGCUGUCCGUGAACCUGAGCAUUCCUUUUUCAUUAUAUGCAGGGAAUUCGCUUGUGAGGGCAUCACUCUCUUGGUAUUGGAAACCUGAAAAAUUCUCUCCACGAAGUGGAGCGAUGCUUCUUGGCAGCCUCUUUAAUGUGACUAGUUUCGAAUGGAAAGGUUUCCAAGCAACGGCAGUUCUAGAUGAAGUAUUUGAUGAGGUUCCUAUAUUUCACAACUUGAGAAACUUGUCUCUUAACUCAUGUUUUAUCAACACCACCAAAAGUGGUGUGUGUCAAUUGAAGGCUCUAGGGAGAUUUCUACAUAAGUCUCCUAAUCUGGAGGAGCUUACUUUGAAGAGUUUUAAGGUGGUGCCAGUUGUUGAACAUGUUGAUUUCCCUAUACUAAAAAACCUGAGAACCUUGUGCCUGCAUUUUUGCAUUUUGAACGACAAUUUCCAGAUAUGCUUCAUUGUCUGCGGAAUUCUCCUAAUUUGGAAAAGCUCAAGAUAGCAGGUUGCAAGCUCUCAGAUGAUUCCAUGGGAGGGAAAGGAAAGGCCAAGUCGAAGAAGACAUAUUCUAGAAACCUGGCAUGCUUCCAGUGUCUGAAGCUAGAGUAUGCUGAAAUCUCCGGCUGCGAAAAAGAUGCCAGUGUUCCCGAACUGGUCAGCUUUUUGUUGGUCUUUGCUGCACCAACGAUUACUAUAAAAGUUUCAAGUCUAUGAAUUGCUUACCAGCCUGACGACACUAGGUGGCCUUCUUGUUAUCUUGUUUCUGACAAAUUAAACUUCCUAGUUGUAAACUAUCUAUAGGCAAGAAAUAUACUUGUACCCGAACUCAAUAUGGGAGUGCUUGAAUUGAAACAGUGCUGAUCUGUUGUCAGAAAUGCUGCCUGAUAUCCUAGAAUGCAGAAUGCCAGAUACUGUGCCAUUUGAAAUGCAUUGUUAGGUUGUGAAAA